GUCUGCAAAGUCGCUGAGGUUCUGGGACCCCGCGGCGUCACCGAGCGUGAGCCUUCCGCCCGAGGACGCGGGGAAGGCGGCCGGCGCGAGCUCAAGACCCGGCCCGACGUGCUCACCGCGGCAGCGGUGCCUCCUGGACGGGGACCCAGGGCCCGGACCGCACUCUUCCCAGGGGCGCCGCCGAGCCCUCGUCCCUGCCGGGCCCGGCAGCCGCAGGGUCUCCCUUUGUCGCCCAGGCUGCAGUGCAGUAGCGCGAUAUCGGCUCACUGCAGCCCCUACCUCCCCGGCGCAAGCGAUCCUUCAGCCUCAGUCUCCCCAGUAGCUGGGACUACAGGCGCCACCAUGCCCGGCUACCUUUUGUAUUUUUUGUAGAGAUGGCGUCUUGCCAAGUUCCCCAGGCAUUAACCCGGAAUCAACCUGGCGGGUCAGGGAGAGCCUCUUCUGCUCAGAGGUCAUUGUGCCCAGACUUGAGCCCUGGCUGUGAAGUCCCUGAGGCCCCUCACUCCAGGGACGGGAAGCACCAAAGAUGUGAUGUUUCCUCCUCGAUUUCUGAGACUGCCUGGAAGGGGGGAUAGUGGUGAGCGGCUGUCUCCCCCUUUCCUGAGAACAUAAAUCAGAAACGCUUUCUGACGCCAGGCACGGUGGCUCAUGCCUGUAAUCUCAGCACUUUGGGAGGCUGAGGUGGGUGGAUCACCUGAGGUCAGGACCAGCCUGGCCAACAUGGUGAUAAUCCCCUCUCCACUGAAAAUACAAAAA